rnacentral:rRNA from 1 species
GACGAACGCUGGCGGCGUGCUUAACACAUGCAAGUCGAGCGGUAAGGCCUCUUCGGGGGUACACGAGCGGCGAACGGGUGAGUAACACGUGGGUGACCUGCCCUCAGCUCUGGGAUAAGCCUGGGAAACUGGGUCUAAUACCGGAGAUGACCUUUCCUCGCAUGGGGUUUGGUGGAAAGUUUUUUCGGCUGGGGAUGGGCCCGCGGCCUAUCAGCUUGUUGGUGGGGUGAUGGCCUACCAAGGCGACGACGGGUAGCCGGCCUGAGAGGGCGACCGGCCACCCUGGGACUGAGACACGGCCCAGGCUCCUUCGGGAGGCAGCAGUGGGGGAUAUUGCGCAAUGGGCGGAAGCCUGACGCAGCGACGCCGCGUGGGGGAUGGCGGCCUUCGGGUUGUAAACCUCUUUCGACCCCGACGAAUUUGGACGGUAGGGGUAGAAGAAGCACCGGCCAACUACGUG